rnacentral:rRNA from 1 species
GUGGAUUAGAUACCCUGGUAGUCCACGCCGUAAACGAUGAGAACUAGGUGUCGCGGGUGUUGACCCCUGCGGUGCCGCAGCUAACGCAUUAAGUUCUCCGCCUGGGAAGUACGGCCGCAAGGUUAAAACUCAAAGGAAUUGACGGGGGCCCGCACAAGCGGUGGAGCAUGUGGUUUAAUUCGACGCAACGCGCAGAACCUUACCCAGACUUGACAUCCUGGAAGCCUGGCCCAAAAGCUGGGGUGCCCGCAAGGGAAUCCAGAGACAGGUGCUGCACGGUUGUCGUCAACU